UCUUUGAGGACACCCACCAUCACCGACUUUCGGCCCGGCGUCCGCGCCGGGCUUUU
rnacentral:sRNA from 1 species